UUUGAGGUUUAACACAAGUGAUUCUCGUCAGCCCUGAUUCAUCACUUGGAGUGGGCACAGGUGUUAUCAUGAGUCUACAGGCACUUACAGGGAUUUGAAAAUGCAAUUUUGAAAGUUUUAAGAAGGCAGAGACUUUUGGAAAGGGUUUUGGUAAAAGUAAUUACAAUCAAAUCAUGUAUGUAGAGUUGGUCAGAAAAAAAAAAUGUUUCAAAAACCAGGUGAAAAACGACAUGGCCCAAAACUAGGCUUGUAGUAGAUCACUCAGGCUGGCCGUCUUUAUCUGAUUGCUGAUUUUCCACUAAAUGGGAUCAAACAAAAGUUUCACAAUAUGGUAUAUUAAAACAACCUGAAACUAGUGACUGAGAAAAUAUAGAUUGUAUUUACAACGCUGAAGGAUUAAAGCCAAAUCAAACCAAUUUUCCCCUGUACUUACUACCCAGCACAGUACUACUAAAAGGCGGUAAAAAAAAAAAAACCCUAAAAAACCCAAGAAAACAAAACAGGGUUCAUUUCUCAGUUGUAUGACUAUGUUUAAAUGUCUUGUUAUAUUCAGACGUACUUUACUUUAAUGUCAUCUGAGCACAUUGCUGUAAAAACACAGCAGGCACUAGAGCCUGAGAGACAAAGAUGAAGACAAAGACACUUUUCAUAACCUCCACGUCCCCUGCUUACUCUCUAUUUAACCUCAUUGUAUACUGUUGUAGUGUUAACUGACAGGAAGCGACACACCUCUGAUAAUACAAAGUUCAAUCUCUCGGGCCGCAGCUGCAGCUGCAGCGUUCUCCUCAUCACUCAGUCAGAACGAGCCCCACAGUUUUCAGCUCAUAGGUUCUGCUAAGCGAUUUCGACUUUUGGGUACUUUCCUCAGCACUGAAAAAAAAAAAACUUACGCAGAUGAUACGGGUGACUGCAGCCCAUCGCUCCAGCCCAGCACUUUCUGUAGUGCUGAAGUCAAAACAGAGACAGACACAGAAACUAAGAGACAUGUCAGUGCCGAUUCACUGAUUCACUCUUUAAUGAUCAUGGUAAAAUAGGCUUGAGUUGUGUUUUUGUUUUGUAUUUGAAGAGUUUAUUAAUGUCCAAAUUCUAAAAUUACUACAGAUAAAAAUGACCUUAGUGUCUGAAAACGGUGAUGGUCUUGUCAGUAGGUAAAGAAGCCCAGAUUUAGAUACUGGCAAUGGACUUCCAUCCAAUUGCAAAUGGCUCCCAACCUUUGCCAGUGUUGAUCAAAUCAACUAAAAGUCAACUGGACACCUGCAAAACCCAGGUCCAAUUUAGCCAAGAGAGAAGUUUACGUUGGGUCACAGAGAAAAGGUUUCUGCAAAGAAGUAAAAACUUUGAGCCCAAGUCAUUGAAGACAACAUCAAGUUCAAGUCACUAAAAUAAAAAACUGAACAAAAAGUCAAAUUCCCAGGGAACAAGUCCAAGGCACUGAAGGAAAACUAGAUAUGUUUUAACUUUGACUCAGGAAUUUUGGACUCCUCUUGGGACAUGUCUGUUUGAUUUGUUGUCCUUCGUGAACAAUCCAAGUCACUGAAAACCCAAUACAGCAUUGCUGCUAUAAAAUUUCCUCCAAUGUACACCACAUUUAAACUUAUUUUUGUCUGCCACUUAGUAUAUCAGGAGAACCGAACUUGAAUUUUCUACAAAAAUAACCUUGAAAACAAUAGGCAGGUCGAGACAGAGCUCACAGAGACGUUGUUAGUUAGUGGCAGGAUGGUAGGCGGUGUUGUUUGUGGCUGAGUAUGGGAGGAAUGGCAGGAAUGAAAUGGAAUGUGAAUACUGAUUCUAGACUUGUCUCUAAAGGAAAUCCAGCAUUCCCAGCUGCUCAGAUCUGAAAAACAUGACCUGAAAGACUGAGGACGUUGGUUCCCGCAGCUCUUGGUGUCAGAAAGAAACAGUAAAAAGGUGAAAAAGGAUGAAGCAAUGUAGAGGUAGAUUUUUUCUUAAAAAAAAAGGUGACUUCCAUACAAUUCUUUUACUAUUGUUGUAUGUAAAGUACAUGCUCCUGGUGUUUUUGUUGACGUUCUAAUCCAAAGUCCAAACAGUCCAAACAGCCAUAAAGUGAACUGCAGGCAGACGAGUGUUGUGUGUGUGAUCUCUCUGAGCUGCUGUUUGCCUUCCCAGUCAGCUGAUGUUGUUUACUUCAGUGCCACUCACACUCCCUCACUUAUUUUUUCAGAGAACUGCGUGGGAAUAUAAUCGACUGGAGAACUACACUCUCUCACUCACUCACACACACACACACACACACGCACGCACGCACGCACGCACACACGCAGGCACAUACAGUACACAUGCAUACACCAUGUGUAGCCAAAACAAAAGGAAAACUGGAAAAACCAAACUCAGAGUGACUCUAACUGAGCAGAGCAGGUUGCAGCUUGACUUGACCGAUUCAGACGACAGUUAAAUUGCCAGCUGCUCCGUGCUCGGUUUGAAAAGUCUUUCAUUGAGGACACAGCAUCAAAGUAUACCUCGCUAUUCAAAGUAGGGACAAAGGGACCAAGGUCUAAGCUUGCUCUGCUGAAUCCACAGAAUGAAGUUAAAGCCCUCACUCUUCCUGUUUAUCUCCACAGCCUCCAAAUAAACACACAAUCCCUCCUUCCUUAACAGCCUGGAAAUCCAGGCUCACUGGUCAACGCCCUACACCACACCAUUUAGGGACUUUUCAAUCACUUUUAUGUGUAUCUAAACCUUCACUUCAGUUAUUGUCUGGUCCUUUUAGACACUUAUUAUAAGAAUUUAAAAAAAUAUAUGAAAAGGAUUAAGAAACUCUUUGACCACAACGUUUUAGCUGUUGUAGAAAACUGUGGCUAUCCUUGCGGUGCUAACUCCUCUGUGCUAACUGUUUUAUUUGUUACAUAGGUAUUUCUGGCAUUUAAACAUCUUUCAAUUGUUGUAAACAGAAUAUGAAAUGAUUGAUUAUGACUGUGAUACCAGAACUCCUCCCUGUAGGAAUCCAAAUCUGUCUCCAAAUUUUCAUUCCUCUCAUUCCUCCCACUCUUAGCUCCAACCCACACCUCCUCUUAGUUAUUUGAGGUUGUUUUCUUUCACCAACUAACUUUCUGUACAAAAACAUACAGUGAGAAAAUGAAAAGACAGGUUUUUUUAAAGCACUGAGCUCUGUCUGUCAGCGGACAUAGGUUUACAGGUAUAUGACUUUGACCAGGACGUGCCUGCUCCUGUUUGGAGACGUCUCAAUCACAUCACUGAAUAAAUUUACUUUAGAAGGAAGUAAAUAAAGUCAGCUGGGAGUCAUGUUAGGAAGAGAAGGCAGACAUCUGGGUGUAAUGUGAAUGACAUCAACACUCCGAAGGACUUUUUCUUUCCUUGUGAGGAGUUAGGAAAUAACUGAAAAAACAUGUCUGACCACAGCAUGACUGUGGUCAGACUUGGUCAGGUUUUGUGCUGUGGUUUGAAAGCACAUGAUUAACAUGGCAACAUAGGAAAGGUCAGAAAUCAGGAAGCAAGAUUGUGGCUUGCUUCCUGAUUGCUGCCUAGGACGUUAAAAAUCAUAAAUGAAACAAAGGAACUGGGAAGAGAAAUGAAACUGCAUUUUCAGCCUGAUAAAACUUCUGCUUCGGUGACCACCACAUAAUAGAAGACAAGACAGUGACCAUAGCUGAGGAUGUGAAAAGACUGAGACUGAUUUGAUUUAACCGUCCUGUGCUGAUUCAUUCAUGACUCCAGACUGGGUUACCAACUUCAUUAUUCAACCACAUUCUCCCCAGCUGACUAAUGUGAUUUACUGAAGGCCGGCUUAUCCUGUAACCUCGGGUCAGGAAUGAGCAGUUUCAGUCACCAUUACUGGGACACAGUUCACAUUGACACCACUGGAUGCAGUCCAGUAAGCAUGGCAUGUCUGAAUUACUAAUUUAACUUGACAGAAAAACGGUUUUCUAUUUGACAACUGGCUUUGAGAAUUGAGAAAUUUAUUUAUCAGAAACUUCAAAAACUUUGCCAAACCAUAGCAGAAACUGUUACAAGUUUGCCUAGGAAUAGCCAAAAUGGCCAUAUUUAAAUUGGCAGAAAAUCCACAAUACCAAUGAAAGUUAAAUUACAGGAACAAAAAUGUAGUUUUGGAACAGAAACUAAUCAUUUAAUAAUGCCAUGUUUACGUCACUGCCUAGCCAGAAAACUGCUCCAGAAGCCUAUACAAUCUAACGAAGAAUUUUACUUCAGUCAACUGAAAUGAGGACAACGCAACUGACUCUAUGACGUGGCAAAACAAACACAUUAGAAAAAACGUUUCAGGGUUGUGGUCUGGUAUGUUGUGUUUGCAUGCUCACUAAGUGUGAAGUUUUGAAAAGAAACUUAAAUGUCUGUCUAAAGGGUCUUCUUGGUUACACUGUCUGAAUUCUUUCAUCAGCUGUGCUCAACAUGAAACUUCGAGCAGUUUCUCUUUAAAGAGCAUGGGUGAGUGAAAGAAUGUGGGAGAGGCGUGUGCUUCCCCCAUCCACAGACUCAGACUAGCUCUGAGUCCUUUAAUUAAGUUACACACAUGUGUGUAGGAGGUGAAGGUUGGUCAAAUUCAAACUAAAAACACUGCAGGUAAAAGAAUUUGCAGCUAAAGCAGGGAAAUUUUUUACGUGGGGGGCUGAUGUAGCAAGAAAGCUGCCAGGAAAACAUUCCUGUGUUCGUCUGUGCGUGCGCGCAUAACCAGAGGCCACGGUGAGGAAAUGAGUAUGACUUCAGAGAGCGUGUUGCCACAAGGAGACAUUCAGACAGAUAAACAAAACAUCUCCGAUGAGUUACAUUUAUAAAUGAAUGCAGCCCUGAGGAACACACCUCCAGCUUGAGACAUGGUUUUGGAUCAACCUCUGAUAUGUGAGGAGUGUUAACCACUCCACCACAAGGGUGGGAUUUAAAAAACAAUUGGAAACAUCAUAGGGCAGACGGGAAUCCUGCAAACAAAGACCACUGGUUUAGAAUCCUCUGUGAAUGGGAAUUGGGAUUUUCCAUAUAUUUUGAAACCAGAUAGAUCGAUGUUUAAAAAGAUACAGAACAUACAGACAGCGAGUGUAGUUUUAUGAGAGAGGUACGGUCAGUUUAUACAUAAGGUGGAUUGCAUUAGUCUAGGAACAGCAAGUACGUGCUCAAGUCAAAUACUUAAGUGGGAGUGAAGAAAAACAGAAACCAAGAUGUCUUGGCAAUGUCUUUACACCUUUUACACAACACCGACCUUUUACACAACACCGAGCCAGGAUGUGUCAGGAAGUAGUUCUUUACAUAAAUGCCCACAGAGAACACACUUAAACUCUAAGGUGCUUCAAGACCAAACAAAUUCAGACACAUAGACCAGCUACUUCUUCUUCACACAGCACUGAUCCUCUGCAGGGUUGGUCGAAGUGCUCACUGCAUUCCUCUGCACUCUUGUUUUUCUGGCCCCUCGGCUGGGCAUCAUUCAAGCCUGAAAACCUUUCGGAUCAUUGACCGUAGCUCUGCAGUUCAUGUGUACAUUAGCAACACUACCUGUGGCCUCCUGAGCGUGUCCAGGACACAGGGACCUGAGGUACGGUCAAACACCUGACCGACUACCAGGAUGCACUGGAGUUUAUGUGGAUGGUCUUUUUUCCCAAAGGCAGAAAAUGUGGGUGACUCAUUUUAACCCAGAUCUGAAGAACGCAUAUAAAGAGCGGCCGUAAGUUGAAACUCACAUACUGUAGAUAAGUACCUACUGUAUGUCACUCACCUACGCUAAAACAGUGGUAACAUCAUAAUCUAGGACAUAAAAACAUCAGAAGAGCCUGACUUACACUUGGGAGCCAAAAUGAAGGGCAACAAGUUCCCAAAAAACAAACAAACGGCAAAAAAAGGCAAAUGUAGCUCAAUCCAAUGCAUAGCGUACAACCGGCGAAUGUAAACAAAGCCGUCUUCCACACAGCGUGAUGACAUAUUCGUCUGCUCAAAGUAGUUGGCGAGUUUCAACACCAUAUGUUGUAAUGAUAGAACAAGACUUUAACAAAUGUAUGGGAGUAGAAACGUAGGUCAAGGACGUCGUAAACAGAGGACCCAGUGUAUAUUUAAGGUGUCUCAUCUGAAGCUAGCAUCCUCUUUCCUUCAUCUGAAUGUAUCUUUUAACACAUUUUGCUAAUCACCCUUAGCUGCUCCACUCACUUGUUAAUUUCCAUUUCAAUACUUUAUCAUCCUAACCUGCUGUUGCUUAUACCGAUAUCUCUGUAUAUUUUUGUUUUACUUUUAUCAAUCACCCUGUUUGUUACGCUAACUACAGAUGACAUGAUAACACUAAUGGAAAAUAUUAGCCGUUGUAACGCCUGUGUUUUUAAUGCAGGCCAAUCACUUUGUACGCACACUGUCUCGUAACAUACAAGUAAUGUGAACUUGUUUAAUUUUGGUGGGAAACUUGAUAUUUUAUCAGUUAAAUAAAUACAUAUUCUGCCUGUACAACUGAAGUCAGCUAAGCUGUUGUGUACUCACUAUAUUUUAACAGAGAAUAUCAAACCAGAAGAACAGGUAGGGGAUUACAAUGGCUUGUUUUAGCGUAAAAAUAAACACCGUACUAGUCUUCUACGCCUGAGGGAAUAAGCCGUGACCAGUGCAUUUCCUUGACCUUGUGUGGAUGUCCUUGGUCAUGUGACUUGGCUGGCCUGGGAACAGACAUCUAUCUCUAUUAUUAAUCAGUGCGUGUUUCACCAUGUCGUCACGUGGGACCGUGUUCUUCAGAACACUACUUCCAAUCUGUCUCACGCCUAUCAGGUUGCAGGCACAAAAUGUGAUACAGUUUCAGUUAACACCUAUUUCCUCAAGUCAUACUGUUAUACUAGUAGAUAUUUUUCCAACUGGAAGCUUGGGGGAGUUGGUGUUGUUGACACUGCUCCUAAAGCUCUUCAGUUUUGUUUUUCUGUGCUACAUCCAAACAUAUCGCUCAAAUCUUGCUCAGAAAACGGAUCAAAAGAGAAUAUUCCUUCAUCUUCAGACAUGCGGUGUGAUUAGACAAAGACGAUCUUUUGUGCUGUACGAAGCAUCAGUACUGAGGCAAAAAUGUGAAGAUAAGCAAAAGGAACAAACAGCGUUGACUUUGGUUGUGUCUAGCACUGCAGUCUUAUGUCUUCCAAAUAUGUGGGACGCAAGAAAGGCAUAUGUUUGGACAACAGACUGAAUGAGAGACUUAACAAUAAGAAAAACGAAUCUUUCACAGCUCUAACCUGCAGCAUGUAGGCACAACUGGAAAUGAUAUGUCAAAAGUAUCAGUUUCUUUUCCUCUGAGCAAUUAAGGUACUGUUCACUGUUCACUGCUGCAGUGAGGUGCAGUGUAGCUCAUCCCCAGCUAAAACAUAAUGCACAUACUAAUUAUUUGCACAGAGUGAUUACUUCCUUGAUUAAACACUAUUUCAGGUUUUUUAACAGCAUUAUGCUAAAUUGAUCUAACGUUGUCAUCAAGCUGCGAAUGGCAGAUACUUAGCAAAUAAAACACCACUACAAAAAAGACUGACACUUUCAACAGUGGUAACAAUACAAUUUGACUUAUCACAAACACUUCCUCUUCAUUCAAAUCAGUUUACAGUAAAGACAAAGUUAUUAAAGGAACAGUUUAAAAUCAUCUCCAGGUUCCUAUUGCUAAUAGGUAAUAUGAAUCAAACCCUGUAAAAUGAACAUACAUCUACAGGCUAGUGGAUCUUACUGGAACAUUCAAGCUCCAGCAAAGAACAAUCUGUUCUCACAGAGUUCAGAUAUCAUAUCACAGACAGAGGAAUCUGCCCUCCAGUCAACAGCCACCGAGGUCAAACUGCACCAACACAUAAUGCAUAAUGUAUUUAAUCAGAAAAUGAAGCCAGUGAGUGAUAAGUUGGAUCUUUUUUUUUUUAGCUCAUAUCUGUCAGUAAAAAGCCAAGGAUCAUCAACUCGAAUGAUGAAAUUCUCAAAGGAAAUUCAAAAGUAAAAAUCAGUGGAAUAAGGCAAUUCCUGGGUAAGCUUAACAUUAUAUAAAAAAGACCACACAAAAUACCAGAAAAUUAAGUUUACCCCUGAAUAUGUAAUAAUUAGUCAAAAAAAUCUAGGAUCUGAAUUAGCCAAAAAUAUUAAAAAUACAAGCUAACACACACAAAAAAAAUGGCUGAAAGGCCAUAUAAUCACACACAUCGUGUCUAGUUACUUCAUUUCCGGCUGUGAUGUAUUAACACUUGUCUCCUAUAAGAGUAGCUGAGCCAAAUAAAGACCACACAUCAGUGUCAUAUUGUCUUCCUGAGUCCUUGAAGUGAGUGAGCGGUCUUUUUUUUGGUGUGCAUAUUUGGAGUGGGUUCUGCUAGGCUGUGGGGGUGUCAUUCUGUUUGUGUGCAGUCAUAGGAAGGAGCCUGCCAGCAGCCUAUUUCUGAGACAGAAUUUCAUUUGCUGGUGAAGUGUUGGAGCUGAUUUUCGAACCAAGGUUAACGUUAAACAGCAUCAGAUUUGUUGAUUGGUAGGGAUCGAUCAGUUAACUUAAGAUGCCCCCAAUGCCAAGCGCACAGGGUAAGAGGGCUUAGUGUUCUUGUCUUACUGUCAGCGUCUGAAUACAAACAACAAAGACAGCUUGAUGUUGCUCUAGAUGGCACACGGACUCAACGCCCACAUCAACAAAAAUAUAAAUAAAUUCAAGUCUUGUGAGCUGGACCAAACUGCCACGCAGACCAGGCAUGACGCCGAGGCUAGGCUUACCUCACGGGUUGGCUGUGGUCUGAGGCUUCAUUAUAUAAGGAUUGAUUGGGUUUCCUGUUGGCAACACAUGACUGGCAUAAGAAAAAUAAAAAAUGUCAUCUCUUUGCACUGAUCACACCUAAACAUCCUCAAACCAAAUUUUUAAGCAUGACAUUGCACCCAUUAAUAUUUACGAAAAACUCAACUCAGUAAACUCAACUAAUGCACUUUCCGUUAAUGAUGAGCAGGAGAGCUGGUGGGCGUUCUCAUCUGUACUGAAGAGGUUGGACACAUAAUGUACAGGAGACUUUUAAAAUAAUUCACACCCUGGCUACCAACCCAUUUAACUUCUAUGGAGAACAAUCAAAGUGCUUAUAUGUCAACAGUGGAAACAAUUGAAACACUACCACUUCCUUGACACAUCCCUGCUAAUGAUGCGAACAAACAAAGAAUUCAAACAGCAACAACUGCACAAUGACACUCCGAUCAAAUGAUACACUGUCACACACUAACUUCACACACCCACAUUACCUGCCAGGUACUACUGGUUGGUAGCACCCAGCCGCUCAGGUGUGUUUUUUCAGGGACUUUUUCUGGUUAUGCUUAAUAAAGACUACAGAGGUAUUUUAUUUUCAUUCAAUGAGGAUUUCAUGAGAAAAACUCAACUAAAGUAACAAAUAUGUCACUAUUAACUCAGACAACAGAGAGAAUUCUAAAAACAAUGUCUGUAAUCCAAUUAGUUCACUGAUACCAAGCGACCAUAAUAACCAUAAACAAAACACUAUCAUCCCGACGCCCACGCACCCACCCAUCAGGGAAUUUGAUCCCACUCAGCCAAUCAAUCUGAUUACAGCCCUGAUAAGAAAAAUUCCUGUGUAAAGGUGGUGCCAACGGUUUCCUACAAGUGCGAGAAGGAAUUAGAAGGAAGUCACAGCCUUAUCUUGUUUGUAUACUUUUACACAGUUUACGCGAUUGAUACCUAUUUGUUCAUUUCAGCAGCUCUAAUACCUUAAAACUAUGAGAGUAUUACAGUGUAGUACAUUUGGUUCAAAUCUGAUUGUAACUGUGGUGAAGUACGUGUGCUGUGUACAUUGGCUCACUGGUGUGUUAAACAGGUUUUGGAGCCUGUUGAAUUCUGAUGCUAACACGAAAGCAACAUUCAUGUUGCCGUUUCUUUUUCAUGUCAUUUUAAAAUAUGAGAGUUAUUUAUAUAAAUACAUUUCAUCAAUACAUUUUUGUGGGCCAACAUUUAAAUAUCUAGAUUUCAAUUUGCUUAAAGAUGGUUGCGUUACAUUUUUGCUAACCUUAGCUAUCCGCAUGUUAACCUAGCAAGGUCUGAAAUUUCUUUUGGGAAAUUAUUAUUUAAAGGCUGACUUUGAACUAUUUAAAGCUAUCUAUUUUUGGCAAUGUAUUUUUUUUCUCUUUUUUUCUCUUACUUUGUUUUUAUGUUUAUUUAAAAUGAAAGCAAGUCAACCAUGCUACUUGUUUGGGGGGAGGGCAGGGAAAUACAGAUGCUUUAUGUCCGUUUUUGUAUAUAUACUUUUAAGGCCAUUUUAGGCCAAACAAAAGACCCCUGGAAAAAGCCCUGUGGUCCUGGGAAAGAAAACAAUACGUAACACUAGCUCAACAUCAUCGAAUUUCUAGUCUUACUCCAAAAAGACAAUUUUAAAAUAUAAAGUUGUUAGCAACUUAUACAAAAAUAUUAAUGAAUAAAUUUCAAACUUGGUCAAUACAUUUUUCUACAAUCCUUUUCCUAUAUAUAUAAAAUACAGUCGUAGCAGGAAAAACAAAUGUUUGUGGUAACUCUUAAAUCCUAUAAAUACUUUGAAAGGAUUAUAAUUUUUCUCACAGCAUCUCAUUCAUCAAGCCCGUCUUUGUCCUGGUUAAAUGACAGACCUGCGUCACAACAGUUCACCAAAUAACCAUCUGACUGGCCGGGCAGGCUGCCUCUUUGUGUGCUUGGUUAUCAUCUGAGCUCUUAUUUGGUCUCUGCUGUAAUCCUUCUAGUCGUCACCCAUGGGGGGAGGAUGAAAUACUUCAGCCCUGACCCAAAUAUACAGAAAGACCUUGAGAGACAUAACAAAAGCAGAGCUUAUAGAAAGCCUCUAAUUAGCCUUUUUUUGUCUUUCAUAUAGCAACUAUAGUAAGCCCCGAGACUGUCAUGCAACAGAGGAACCACUGAAACCAGUCAUUUGAUCUGCCUGGUAAAACAUUUAUCAGAGUGGAUAACAACACCUAGGAUUCUAACACUGGCUCAUUCUCAACGUCUACAGAUUACUCUAGAACAGCCAGGAACAGUCUGUGCCAAGUAUCAGGUGAAAGGUGAAAAUCUGGAUGAGGACGCUUAUCCCUAUUUAUUUGGUCUGCCAACAGGGUGUCUGGUGCCCACAACCAAGAAGAUGACUCAAACGGUGAAGUGUUAAUAAACGACUAACUAGGAAUUUCCUCAAGAAGAGACGAACACUUCAGACGUCCACUGAGGAAUGAGGUUUUUGUUCAAAAUCAGAUAUUACUGUUGAGAAAGGUGUGGGUGGAUUGGGUCGCUGAACACACCAAACUGCUUGCGCAAGAUUAAAUUUAGUUUCACUUUGACUUUGGACUUCAUUGGAAGUGUCCUGUCAUUCCAUUGUAACUGCCAUGGCUUUAAAUAAUAUGUUGACAUUUCCAAAGCCUAAAUUGGUUUUAUCUGUGGGCAAAAUGUUGUUGCAAAAUUUGACUCUUGACUGUUGGAGAGCUUGACACUAAGAUUAUUGCUUUAAAAAGGCAAAAUGACAAAAUAUUUAUAGAAAGAAACCAAAAAGAGCAACAUUGUGAAUUCACUGAGUGAGCACCUGACACCUGAGGGAGUCUCUUUGAACUAACAGAUGGCUUUGCCGUCUGUGGGAGCUAAAUUAAUAGGGGUCUUUGCGGUUUCCAGUACAGUGCUGAUUGAAAUGAUGAGCUCAACGCCACCUAAAAGGAACUUUUGGAACUUCUCCAAUCAUCUAAUAUAAACUCUGGCUUGUAGGCGAAACAACCUACCAGCCAGAGUUUUGGUGAUUGUUGUCUCUAAGAUAAUCGUCUGUGAUCUGCAAGGUGACUGCAUGAGAAAGAGCAAAGGAAGGGCACCUGCAUUUGGACAGGGCAAUAACAACACAUUCCUGACAUAUUGUGUGCUUAUCUGUUUAAAUACAUUUGAAUUGAAUUUUAUGAACAAUGGUAUAAAUAUACCUAGUAUAGUAAAUAUAGUUUUAAUUUGAAGAGCUAUUUUUUUCAUCCAACAACAUCCAUUUGUUUGCUUCGCUCAGUGAAAUAAAAGGCUAUAUAUUUGAUUAUGGAUGCCUACCAUUUAAUUUGGUUUUAAACAUUUUCAACACUUUGAUGAUACAGAUACUCUCCUGGUGGCCCAUUAUUCUUAGCGCCCCCUGCAGUGGAACAAACAACCUAAAACAGUAGGGUCCUGUGUUGCCUUCUUCACAUGAUGGGCUCACAGCUGCUUUACUGGAACUAAAUGACUAAAAACAUCAAUAUGUUUAUCUCCCCUGAGGACAGGUCGAUGUAAAUAUGCUCAAAAACAAGACCAAUCUCAAGUGCAAAUUCUUUUCGAGAGUGAUUAAAUCAGGUACACGAUAAAAAAAAACAGUUUCUCAAUACAGUUGAUACAACGCUCCCUUUCAUUCCUGUGUAUCCUGUAGCAGAGGGAUAUGUUAGGAGUUUUGUUUUUGCCAGACUUGGGUGUUGUGUUGUGUUGUCACAUGUUUUUCCUUCCAGGUUAAACCAAUGUGCCUCUGCUUGGAAUCACAACUGUCAAAGACAUUUAACUGGAAUAGUAGGCCCACAACAAUAACAAUCUGCAUGUCAACGGCACAAGAAAGACUUUCCCAAGAAAGACAAGGCCGGAAAAACUUUGACUUUUCACUUACUUUUACUUACACAGUAUUUUUGAAAUAAUCAAAAGAUUAUUCCAAAAUGCUGUUCAGCUACUUUUGGUUGACUUCUAUGGUUGUGUCAAGGUCUUAAAUACGAUGUAUGGGAGCAUCAAGUCAUUUAAAGACUUAAAUCACAAUGGUUGAAAACAUUUUUCCACCUCCAGAAACGGGUACAAUGAGAAAGAGGAUUACCCAAAUUGUUUGAUAAACUGUUUUGAAGCUUAAUGACUCACUCAUUGCUAUGGCAGACAACUGACAUCAUGCAUCCAAACACAAGCGUUUCUUUGGUGCAGCCAUCAGACAACAGUUCCUUAAGUCUAAAAUUUCAGCAAAGCUUGAGAACGGCUGACAUCAGGGUUUAAAUCUCCAGUUGAUAUGAGCAACUCCCUCCACAAUAUUAUCAGGCCCUGUGAGUUGUCCAAAGAAAAGACAUUUUCAGGAUAUGACUCAUCGUGUUUGUUCCCCCAGUGAACAGUGAUUUUCGCCAGGCUAACGAAAAUUUUGCGGUUGCUCCCAUGUUGUAAAUUUAAAUCGCAGACACAAAGGCUUGCGCAGCCAUGUCUCCCCUUUCAAGAGCUUGUGUUGACAUUUUUUGCUGACCAAGUGCUGAUCCCAGCUUCUGAUGAGGGACGGAGAGAAGGGGGUCUAUAAUUAUUCCCAUACACGAUGAGCUCAUCCCUUAACCUUGUGCUGAUUUUUUUUCUCCAGCUGAGACAGAGAUUUUAACAAAAUCAUCCAUUCAGCUGGAAAUGCAAAACAAACAUGUGAUCCAAAGAAGCAUGACCAAUCUGAUGCUGUGGCAAAAACGAUCGCUGGUCAUAUGAUUGAUGAACUUUUCCAGAGCAGCUGAUUUUUUUCCCCUAUUUUGGAAAAACAACAGUGCCUCUUAAUGAACUUGGUUCAAUGGCCUCUGAAAACAAGACGGACAACAAAACCCCCAUCAAUGCUCGGUAAACAUGAGGUUUCCAAACAAAAGGGAAGACGUUUAAAGUAAGAUAGAGUAGGAGAGGCUGUAAGUGACACUGACCAACUGACCCAGACAGGUCAACGUCACACAUGGGUCGGACAAGCCCAGACCUGCUUUGGAUAUAUUCACGAGUCAAUAAAAGGAGACGACGUGACACUAAAAUAUAGAACUUCUGCAAACAUGGUGCAGGGGGCCACCAUGGAAAAAACUCAUCCUCUGACAGAGUUCAGAUAAGUUCAGUGGUUGUACAGGAACCUUAUGACCUACUUAUGGUAUGUUUGUCACUGCGAUGUGGCGUCUGAGUUGCGGGGGGCUAGAGUCACUAACAAAAAAGCCCAAGUUAAACUCAUUAACCUGCACUUUAUGUCUGAUGGUUUCCCAGAGAACGAAGUCAAGGAAGAUGUUGAUGUCAAGGAUUUUGUUUUUGUUGCAAAAAUUGUUUUGUAUAUUUUUUGAAAAUGUCUUUUCAAGACAUGGAGGCUUACUGAGAAAAGAUUACUUUCUUUUUUCUGCAAAACCUUGGUUAUCUGCCUUACACCAGCUCUACUUUUGGUUUCAGUUUGACGGAAUGUUUUCACUUUUGAAGACAUCAACUUUUUUAUCUGCCGUUGUACUAAUGACAGUGGCAGUGCGUUUUUGGUUAAGAUGUGCUGAUAAUCAGUCAGUCAGUCAGUGUUUACACCAAGCACAUGGUAUAUUUCAGCAUUAAAUUGGUACAUUCUUUGUUUUUCCUUUGCAUUAACUUCAUAUGUACUAGUAUGAGAUGUAUAACGAAUCGAUUUAAGAAAAUAGUUGUUGUUGUGUUGCUACGUAAGGUAGAUGAAUAAAUGCACCUGUGUGUGCUUUGAAUACAAUGCCUAACUGAAUUAAUGGUUCUUGUGCAACUUCCUUCCCGUGGAUAAUAACUUGGAGAUUUGGUGGGAACAUAACGCCCCAUACAGCAAGAACACUGAUCUGUUGAUACUAAACAGAUUUGUUUCUGUGUGAUGAAACAAAGCAUGGAAAGAAUCCAGGAACCUGGUCCAAAGCACAGAAUGUGCUGCAAGAACUUCCCUUCGUGUAAAGUCGUGUAACUGCCAUCAAGGCAAAGCCACAGUGACUUGGCAGGAGAUGAGACAGCAGAAUGAUUAAGAGAAUAGACACUUAUGUCACCCAAACACCAAAAGGGGAAGGAAAUGAAUAUGUGUACGGAAUGUGUAAAAUGCGAGAGGAGUCCGAGGGACUAGCAGGCUUCAUAGUUAGGCCGCUGAAAGUUAAAAAUGCUCCUAGGGCCGUCUGAACUGCCAAAUACUUCUCUUAAACUGUUGCCACGGACGGAUUCUCUAGAACAAAAUAGUCCCAGCGAACAUAAUUACUGUUCCAUUUCUAAAUAUUGACUUUUUAAAUAAGAGUGUGUUCACAUCUGCUAUAUGUGAGCCUUUUAAUGUAGGUUAUAUACCUAUAGGUCGCAUUCGGGUUUACGACUCAUACUCAGGUACGACAUAUAUUAAAAUAUAUAACUUCAUGUUUGUUAUUUCCACACUGACAGCCACUAGAGGGCACUCUAGGCUGGUGUACCAGUACCUGCUACUCUUGCACCACUGAAAAUUUACAUUUGUCACUGACAGCCUAGAGGGCAUUGGUGCGACUUAUGUUUUUUUCUUCAUUCUGCAUUUUUUGGCCAGAGCGACAGAGGGAAAUACGGUAAUUGUUGUCAUACUUUGAGCAAAAUGAACAAAUCCUAGUUCCAAGUGAACAUGGUCUCAGAGGGAUUCAGUUAAGUAAGACUUACGGUUGGUAUUGACACAAACUACCUGCACUGACCCCGACAGCCAGAAGGUGGGUGUAAAGGGUUAAAUUAGGUGUGAUAUUAAAUGAUAUUAAAAUGAUGCCUCAAAGUAGGGUUGCUCUAAAACCAUACCACCCAAAAUAAAAACAUCAACAACUGUAGGGCUCAGAGAGCAAUUACACCGGAUGGGCUGACCGAGAUGACUGAGAACACUGAUAAGUCGUCUAUUAAUACUGCACUGCGGUCAACUGUCAGAGAAUAAAGUUUCAAAGAAUCCACCGAGAAUGGAACAUGAUGCAUCGUCCAGUUGAUUCACACUGAUCCCUGACACGAGAACCACCAACCACAGAGAGCUCCGUUGGUUGGUGAUUCAGAGUUGUUGAUUCCACUACCCUCACGAAAGACACUACAGCUGUGUUUACAGCACCCCCAAUCCACAGGUGUGUAUACUAAAAUUGCCUCACCUUCAGGUCACCAGUGUGGGAAGCAUGUUGUUCACACUGAUGUGUAAAGGUAGGGUGGAGGCUCAAAGGUUUAGCCGCAGGAGAGAAGCAAGUGGGUCUACUGUGGAUCAUCACCAUGGAGAGGCUCAGCUCAAUUUCCUCCCAAGACCUUGAUGAUGGUUGUGUUUGGCAUGUAACCAGAGACAACGGGAGGAUCUGAACAAACAAGGGUGCAGCCACCAAACAUCACUAAGGAUUCCCCUGCUUGAGGAUUGGUGCACGUUAUUCCUGUGGUUUCCCUUAAGGAGGGCAUCACUUAAGGGGCUUUAAAGGGUUGGGAUAAAAGUGAAAUGGUAGUUAUUGUGACAACAUUUAAAAAACAAGAAAAUGUAGAAACGCAUUGCACUGGGUGGGGUUGUCCAAACACCAUAUUUCGGGAAUGUUUGUAUCUUAAGAUGGGUUUUGAAAUGGUGGGUCUGGACCAAAAUGUAGUUUAGGUUGCUAGGUGGUAAGUUUAGUCACUAUCUUGCAAAAGUGAUACAACUGUUACGAACCAUUUAUUAUUAACCUUUAGUCAUACUCUAUGUAAGAUAACUAACAACUUUUUGGUUUACCUAUAGCUAUUGUGUAAAACGUAAAUUUGGAAAAAAUAUGAACUGUUUCCAGCUUUACUUUAAGCCUUAACUGAAACAACAUUGUAUAGAAGCCAUUUUUUUUAAUUACGCUUUCAAUAAAACCUUGAAACUAUUAUCAUGUCAUUUUAAGAUGUCUGAUCAAAAGUAAGGCGGAUUCAGAUUCAAUGUUUUGCCUAUUCAGGUUUUUUUUUUUUUUUUUUUGCAUAUCAGGACAAU